rnacentral:rRNA from 1 species
GAUGAACGCUGGCGGCGUGCCUAAUACAUGCAAGUCGAGCGAACGGACGAGAAGCUUGCUUCUCUGAUGUUAGCGGCGGACGGGUGAGUAACACGUGGAUAACCUACCUAUCAGACUGGGAUAACUUCGGGAAACCGGAGCUAAUACCGGAUAAUAUUUUGCACCGCAUGGUUCAAAAGUGAAAGACGGUCUUGCUGUCACUUAUAGAUGGAUCCGCGCUGCAUUAGCUAGUUGGUAAGGUAACGGCUUACCACGGCAACGAUGCAUAGCCGACCUGAGAGGGUGAUCGCCCACACUGGAACUGAGACACGGUCCAGACUCCUACGGGAGGCAGCAGUAGGGAAUCGUCCGCAAUGGGCGAAAGCCUGACGGAGCAACGCCGCGUGAGUGAUGAAGGUCUUCGGAUCGUAAAACUCUGUUAUUAGGGAAGAACAUAUGUGUAAGUAACUGUGCACAUCUUGACGGUACCUAAUCAGAAAGCCACGGCUAACUACGUG